GACCAUAGCCAAAGAAUCGUCAGUGUUCGAAGCUUGCAUAAUGGGCGCAUUGAUUUGCCCUCCAAAGCUUUGGGUAGAAAGUCUCCGACCACUUCUUUUGCGGAAAACGUAAUGAGAUUUAAAAAUUUUUUACAAGAUGUUUAAAUCAACUCAUUAAAGAUGUGUCUCCUUUGGCGUUCUGUCAGUUCUUCGGAGUUGGCAGAUGCUUUUUUGCGCAUUUUUUGUGUCCCGUGGCGUUUAAAAGUCGCGGUGUCUUCGGUACUGGAAUCCUUUCUUAUGGGUUCCAAACGAUAGUUAUGACGAUUGCACUCUAAAAGGGUGUAACUCAAUGGAGCUUACUGUUCUUGGCUCAUGGU
rnacentral:RNase_MRP_RNA from 1 species